rnacentral:rRNA from 1 species
GAUGAACGCUGGCGGCGUGCCUAAUACAUGCAAGUCGAGCGAACAGACGAGGAGCUUGCUCCCCUGACGUUAGCGGCGGACGGGUGAGUAACACGUGGAUAACCUACCUAUAAGACUGGGAUAACUUCGGGAAACCGGAGCUAAUACCGGAUAAUAUAUUGAACCGCAUGGUUCAAUAGUGAAAGACGGUUUUGCUGUCACUUAUAGAUGGAUCCGCGCCGCAUUAGCUAGUUGGUAAGGUAACGGCUUACCAAGGCAACGAUGCGUAGCCGACCUGAGAGGGUGAUCGGCCACACUGGAACUGAGACACGGUCCAGACUCCUACGGGAGGCAGCAGUAGGGAAUCUUCCGCAAUGGGCGAAAGCCUGACGGAGCAACGCCGCGUGAGUGAUGAAGGUCUUCGGAUCGUAAAACUGUUAUUAGGGAAGAACAAAUGUGUAAGUAACUAUGCACGUCUUGACGGUACCUAAUCAGAAAGCCACGGCUAACUACGUG